rnacentral:tRNA from 2 species
GCGCCCGUAGCGUAGCUGGAUAACGCGCGGCCCUCCGAAGGCUGAGAUCGGGGGUUCGAAUCCCUCCGGGCGCACCA